UAUCCAAACCACUUUAUUUGGAGGUACAAUUUCAGGUGCAAAAGUGAGCGCACCGGAAAUGCCAGUAAUAAUCCCUCACUGCACAGGAAAACUGCAUGUGCAAACAACUACUGUAAGUACUGUAGUUGGUCUGAAAACUGUGAUGGAUACUUAUAAUGGACAGUUUGGGUAAUAAUCUCACUGUUAAUCUCCGUCUUUGUUGUUGCUGGCGAUGUCUCUGUGUUGCCAGAUCUCGUCAAUUACUUCAGUAAGUACCAUGUUAUCAUGGCUGAUAUAACUGAUGGACAAAACUACAAACAUAAGAGCCAGGUAGUAAUAAUUUGGGAUAAAAAAUCUUGAGAGAGGGCGUGGCAGGGAGCAAAGCUGACACAGGUGUAACAGAAGUUUAAUGAGCACAAGCACAGGUGUAACUACUAACAUUAAUGAUAGCUACAGUCCACUUAAGUGCCCCAGUUAGCCACUGACAUAGCUACAUGAAAUGCAGCCAUCAUUAAUGUCAGAAAUGACACCAGUGCUUAUCUCUAAUUUUGUCAUCCUGAUUUUCCAUAUUAUAGCAUUGCUAUUUUGGUCUAUUCUGUACGUGACACAACAUCUGUUGCAUGUCUGUCACAGACUCUACUAGCCCCACAAAUGCAGAGAGUAUAAUUUGGGCUUUAGCCACAACAGGCACAGAACUCAUAGCCUCUGGUUGUUUGUCACAUCUGACAACAUGAAUGUCCACUAGAAAAGAAAAAAAAAAAAAAAUUAAGACGCCCCGGACCUGACCUGAAAACUCAUCAAGUACAGGGGCAAUGAAUACUGGCUAAGUAAGGCUAGCCUUGCCAGGAGGAGGGCUUCUUUAUUGACAGAGGAACACAAUGCUGCUUCAGGAUUGAAAGGGCGUCUGCAUCCAAUCACCCUCCACAUCAGUGGGGGUCAAUCAGCAGAAAAACAUGUAGGACCAGGGCAGAGGGACCGGACGUUAUCCCCUCACUGCAACCAUACCUUAGUUCUGUCUCAGGGAAGCAAAAGACAAGUGCUUCCAUCGCUGAUGUCAUCUCACCAUGGACAAAGCCCGACAGCAGGUGUGUGGAGCUCUGUUAGCUUCUCAUGUCAGUGCUGGAUAACCGGAUAAUGACAGAUGAUUCCAGGAAAAAGAGGAGUCCCACUGCUACCUACAACAUGGGAGGUCAGGAUAAAGCUCUGUCUCUUCAUAGAACUUUAUCAGCAUCCUACAGGAGAUAUCCGAAUCCAACCAGACAGCAUUACAGGGACACACCAGGAGGAGCCUUCGACGGACUCUACAUCUAUGUUCUCCAUUUCCAGCCCUACCGCAGCCAAGCUGACAUCUCAUCCACUUCCUGUCCAGCAACCUAUCCCACAAUGCACUGGGAUCCAGAGAUAGCCAUCAGCCACAGAGACUAGUCUUAACCCCAACACCACUCCGGAAAUACCUUCUCUGUGUCUCCAUCUCUCCCGCCCAGUAUGUCCUUUCUGCCACCCUCUGCCAUCUUUUUUUCUCUUUCUGAUAAUUUCUAGAAAUCCUCCCAUCUCUCUUGCACUGCCUCCAUCACCAGACCCUAUCAGUUUUUCAGUCAACAGUGUUAUUUUUUUUAAUCCAGACUGCAAGGCUUUGUGAAAUUUCAGAGUGCACUUAGCAGACAGUUAGUCAGCAUCGUUCCCAGCAGAUUGGACUGUUAUAAUACUACAGUUUAGCCAAGACUAAACACUAUACUGUGUAUUAAACCAAUCUCUCUCUUUUCCACUUCAUACUUUACUUUUCACUUUCUUUCUCCCCCUUUUCAGUCCUUCUUCCUCCCCCUUGUUCCUCUUUCUCUCCAUGUCCCCUCUUUAUCCUGCUUUCCUCUACAUUCCUGACCCCUCACAGCCUAAAUUCCUUGCAUGUGUGUAUGUGUGUAUGUGUGUGUGUGUGUGUGUGUGUGUGUGUAUAGGUUGGUUGGCUAGUAAAGCUACAAUAAAUGAAGUGUCUUAUUACAGCUUUAGGUAAUCAAAACAUAUGCCGGGCUUUUCAAAAAGGAUUGAAUGGAGCUAAACCUUUCCAGGAAAACUAUGUCAGAGAAUAUAGAGCAGCUUUGAGUAGAUUUACAAUAAUGAAAAUGCUCAAAACGCCACAAACACUGGGACACCGGGGAAUUUCUGUACUGUGUCUGUGCACCACAGGCAGCAAAAAAGCCAGUCUGAACUCAUACAAUGAAUGGUCAGAGAACAACACACACACACACACACUAACAGAGGAGUGACAACAAUGCAUCAAAACAAAGGCUGAUCUCAUGAGAGGGUGUAACAGGGUGGAGAAAAGGUAACGAAACACAGAGAAUAAGGUCUAGCAGAAGGAGAGAGAUGUUGCUUUAUCAGGGUUUAAUCCAGGGACUCAGACCACUCUCAGAAUGUUAAAAAUCCCAAACUCCAUGUAUUUCAGUGAGGAAUGUAACUCUUAAAGAGUAACUUCACACUAUUUUGGAAGGAGGAAAAACAUGGCUGCACUGGUCUUUAUGGGUUAAAAAAUCUGUUGAACUUCUGAAAACACCCAACAUCACAGCUGGGUGUGAUCAGUUGUGAUCUGUUGUACUCGUGAUCACACUAUGAUGUAGCCUUGUACUUUAGUGCCACGCUACAUCACAGCUGCACAGGUUGUGAAAAAAAGCAUGUUGUCACCACAAGUUGGCAGUGCAAAGCAGGAUAAUCAACGUGGGUGAAGUUACUCUUUGUAACUUUUCUUACCUGUUGCAGCCAGGAGGGGUGUUUUUUUUUUUUUUUUUUACUUUUGUCACAGAGCAUGAAGUGAAAAAGUUGAAAAUAGUUUUAUGAAGAUGGAGUAUGGAUCACCUGCCCAACUGCAACAGGCAACCAAUGAGUUACAAGGGAUCUGGUUUGAUUCAUCUGUACUUGACAAAAAGCCAAAAGCUUGAAGAAAAAAAAAACAAACAAACAAGAUUAUAUCAUAUUUGUUCUUCUGGAGCACCUGGACAGGAUAGAUGCACAUGUUUUCACACUGACUGAAGAGAUCUGGGAAACCCCUCCAUAUUCUCACCGACUUCUUCAUUCCUAACUCGCUCUGUCUCACCCUCUCAUGGCUCGUCUAGCGUUAUCAGUGGGUCUUAUUCUUUGUCUGAACAGGGCCUCACGCAGCAAAUCUCUGCUUCACACUCACACUGUCGCACACUUACACACCUGGAGGCUCUGUGGUACAGCAGCUGCCCACUGAGCAGCUUCACUCGUGCUGUGUGAAAGUGAAAGUGAAUACAGAGUGUAGUGAUUGAGGGAGCUCACACAGAUUCAGUUCAGGAACUCAAUCCUUGCAUAAACCUGCUCCUCUAAAAACGCCAGAGCCUUAUUGGGCAUCUGGAUAGAAGUUGUUGCUUCUUUUCAGGUCAAUGAAAGCCUGGUGGUAGCUUUGUUACACAGCCCCGAGGCAGUGGCAGCAGAGAGGGCAGGCAGUCACCGCCCAAGUCAACCAGCACAGAUUUUCACCUUUCUGUUGCUGCUACAGGCGUUUGACCAUGUCAGACCUUUUCUACUUAGCACAACCCUAUUCUUGCAGCUGUGUGAUUCUGAAGAGACCUGUGCAGGGUCAACUGCUGCAGUUGUCACUUUUCCCUCUGCAAGGGCUUUAAGAGUCAGUGACACCUGACAGUCUAAUGAGAGGGCUGCAGAGCAACUCUUUUGAGACUGGUUCAGUGUGGACAGGAAGGCAGGUGAGUUGCGGAGACAGAGAGAUGGAGCAAGAGAAAAGCAUCAAGAUCAAGCUCUUGUUAUUGGCCAGUCAGUUGCUAUGUAACACUGGUUGCCACAGAAACAUCUGAAUGGAAGAGAAAGCAUGAAUGAGAAAGAAAAAACCAAGCAGCACAGAGCACCUCAUGAUUAGCACCUACACACACACAAACAUUUACCCUGCGGCGUCACACUACAGAGGCUUUGCAGCUGCGUCACGAAUCUCCUAGCAACAACAUCUGGCACCAUCAUGGAGGCCCAACUGGAUAACUGGCUGUGAACCACUAUUACAUAUGACAGGCAGGCCAGAAAUAGAUACCCGUAAAAAAGUUUAUUGUCAGGUAUGUAAGGUCAAGUGAUUAAUGCAGCAGCAAAAGAUGCCCAAUAAGGUUUCCAAAUGUAGGUUAUUAUGAUACAUGUAACUUUCUUAUCCUUAGCCAGAGUCUCUUUUCCAAAGCCAAGAGCUUAUAAAGAGUCAGCUCUGUUUUGUAUAUAAACAAGAUUAAGAGUCUACAGCCACGCUAGUGGCUCUGUUAGGCUGUACUUAGGCACAGCGGUUCUUUGAGCCAAAUGCUAACAUAAGCAUGCUAACAUGCUCACAAUGACAAAGCUGACAUGCUGAUGUUUAGCAGGUGUAAUGUUUGGCAUGUUCAUGGUUUUAGUUUGGCGUGUUAGCAUGCGAACAUUUACUAAUUAGCACUAAACAAAGUACAGCUGAGGCUGAUGAGAAAGUCAUUGUUCUUCUUCAGGUAUUAUUAACCACAGUAUUGGAAAAAGUUUCAUUCAGACCUGAUGAUGGUACUAAAUGAAAAGUCAGAGGAUCACCAAAGUGAUUACAGUUCAUCCUGAGGGGAACAUGAAUGUGUGAACCAAAUUUUAUGGCAACAGGUGUCA